AGCUCUGUGGAUUCUCAUUGGGUCUUCUGAAGGAAAUUCAACUCAUGCUGCUGUUUUUGCAUGUUUAUCAUUGAAAAAACAAAGUGCAAUCACUUGAAAUUAACUAAAUGUAAUCACUUUAAAUCCAUCUCUUUUUUAUCAGAGUAUGCUGAUUGAGUUUCCGUUUCUAAUUUAUAAUGACAGUUAUACAUCUUUAAUCUUUAGGAAGUGAUCUUUAAUCUUAGGAAGUGAGUGUGGUCUGUAAUUAAAAUAAUCAAUAAAGUUGUCUAUAAUGAUAACCACAGCACUGUUCCCUUAUUGAAACCCUGUGGUGAAAAGUGAGGGCUGGAUGUGAGAUAGCCGUCCACCGAGUAAAGUAAAUCGAACCAGAGAGAUGAAGCUGGGAGUGUUGUCACAGAACAAAGAGACAGCAAAUGAGGCAUGUGACGUGUGCAUGUGUAAAAGAAACGAUGUUGCUCAAGUUCACUGCCGGAACUAGCUUGCAUCCUUCACUCCAUAUGUAAAUAAAACAUGAAUUACUGAUUUGUACUGCUCUUAUUAAUUCUGACAUUUAGCUUUUAAUUUAAAAACAAAAAAGAAAAUAGAGAGAGAGAGAGAUACAAAUAGCCUGCUGGGUGAAGCACACAUAAAAACAAAACAAAAGCAUUCCAAUAAAAGCUCGUCAUUUUGAUGACGUAGGUUUCAGAAACUGAUGUAUGUAUUAUGAUGCACCUGGCAAGGUGCAGAGAAUAUAUCGAGCUACAUCAGAGGUUCAUUGUUCACCGUCUUUGGCGAAAGUUUCCCAACAACAAUGGCAGGAGAACCAGAGAAGGCCUGGAGCAGCGCUCUCCUCGACUGCUUUGAGGACAUGAAUACGUGUUGCUAUGGUUUCUGGUGCGGCCCUUGUCUUGCCUGCACCGUUUCAGGACGGUUCGGGGAGAAUUAUUGUUUCCCAUUAUGUGACAUAGUACCAAUGUGCACAUCAGUAACGUAUGGAAUACCCAUCUGUGUGCCUCCUGCAGCCCUGUCUAUUAGGGGUGUAACGGUACACGUACCCGUACCGAAAUUAUUCGGUACGGGCCCUUCGGUUCGGUACAGGUGUGUACCGAAGUGUACCGAACGAAUAUAACGUUAAACGUAAAACAUUGAGAAC